UACGAGGGGUGCAAACGUUAUUCGGAUUAAUUGGGCGUACAGGGUGCGCAGGCGGUAUGUUAAGUCAACUGUUAAAUCUCCCAGCCUAACUGGGAAUCAGCGGUAGAUACUGGCAUGCUAGAGGGUGGAAGAGAGAAGUGGAAUUCUUGGAGUAGCGGUAAAAUGCGUAGAUCUCAAGAGGAACACCGAUGGCGAAGGCAGCUUCUUGGUCCACAUCUGACGCUCAUGCACGAAAGCGUGGGGAGCAAACAGG
rnacentral:rRNA from 1 species